rnacentral:rRNA from 1 species
AUUGAACGCUGGCGGCAUGCCUUACACAUGCAAGUCGAACGGCAGCACGGGAGCAAUCCUGGUGGCGAGUGGCGAACGGGUGAGUAAUAUAUCGGAACGUGCCCAGACGUGGGGGAUAACGUAGCGAAAGCUACGCUAAUACCGCAUGUGAUCUGUGGAUGAAAGCGGGGGAUCGCAAGACCUCGCGCGUUUGGAGCGGCCGAUAUCAGAUUAGGUAGUUGGUGGGGUAAAAGCUUACCAAGCCUACGAUCUGUAGCUGGUCUGAGAGGACGACCAGCCACACUGGAACUGAGACACGGUCCAGACUCCUACGGGAGGCAGCAGUGGGGAAUUUUGGACAAUGGGCGCAAGCCUGAUCCAGCAAUGCCGCGUGCAGGAUGAAGGCCUUCGGGUUGUAAACUGCUUUUGUACGGAGCGAAACGGCUCUCUCUAAUACAGGGGGCUAAUGACGGUACCGUAAGAAUAAGCACCAGCUAACUACGUGCCAGCAGCCGCGGUAACAC